GGAAAUGUGCCUGAAUUAAAGGACCACUUUGAUAGAGUGGAUAAUGAGAGUUAAAACCUCUCCACUUCCUUCU
rnacentral:tRNA from 1 species